rnacentral:rRNA from 1 species
AUACGGAGGAUGCAAGCGUUAUCCGGAUUUAUUGGGUUUAAAGGGUGCGUAGGCGGUUUGCUAAGCGGGAGGUGAAAUGCCGGCGCUCAACGUCGGAAGUGCCUCCCGAACUGGUGGACUGGAAUGACUCUGCCGUGGGAGGAAUGUGUAGUGUAGCGGUGAAAUGCUUAGAGAUUACACAGAACACCGAUUGCGAAGGCAUCUCACGAAGGGUUGAUUGACGCUGAGGCACGAAAGCGUGGGGAUCAAACAGGAUUAGAUACCCUGGCAGUCCACGCAGUAAACGAUGAUGGCUAACCGCUGGUUUUUUCGGAUCAGUGGCCAAGCGAAAGCGAUAAGCCAUCCACCUGGGGAGUACGACCGCAAGGUUGAAACUCAAAUGAAUUGACGGGG